rnacentral:rRNA from 1 species
GAUGAACGCUGGCGGCGUGCCUAAUACAUGCAAGUCGAGCGAACAGACGAGGAGCUUGCUCCUCUGACGUUAGCGGCGGACGGGUGAGUAACACGUGGAUAACCUACCUAUAAGACUGGGAUAACUUCGGGAAACCGGAGCUAAUACCGGAUAAUAUAUUGAACCGCAUGGUUCAAUAGUGAAAGACGGUUUUGCUGUCACUUAUAGAUGGAUCCGCGCCGCAUUAGCUAGUUGGUAAGGUAACGGCUUACCAAGGCAACGAUGCGUAGCCGACCUGAGAGGGUGAUCGGCCACACUGGAACUGAGACACGGUCCAGACUCCUACGGGAGGCAGCAGUAGGGAAUCUUCCGCAAUGGGCGAAAGCCUGACGGAGCAACGGCGCGUGAGUGAUGAAGGUCUUCGGAUCGUAAACCUCUGUUAUUAGGGAAGAACAAAUGUGUAAGUAACUAUGCACGUCUUGACGGUACCUAAUCAGAAAGCCACGGCUAACUACGUG